AGGACAAACGCUGGCGGCGUACUUAAGACAUGCAAGUCGAACGGGCGCUUCACCUUCGGGUGGGUGUGCUAGUGGCGGACGGGUGAGUAACGCGUAGGAACCUGUCAUCAAGAGGGGGGAUAACGCUGGGAAACCGGCGCUAAUACCGCAUGUGGUCAUGAAAAUGAAGAAAGCAGCAAUGCGCUUGAUGAGGGGCCUGCGUCCGAUUAGCUUGUUGGUGGGGUAAAGGCCUACCAAGGCAUCGAUCGGUAGCUGGUCUGAGAGGAUGGUCAGCCACACUGGGACUGAGACACGGCCCAGACUCCUACGGGAGGCAGCAGUUAGGAAAUUUUCCCAAUGGGCGCAAGCCUGAGGGAGUAACGCCGCGUGGAGGAUGACGGCUUUCGGGUUGUAACUCCUUUCUGUGGAGAGUAGAAGACGGUACCGCAGGAAUAAGCCUCGGCUAACUACGUGCCAGCAGCCGC
rnacentral:rRNA from 1 species